GAUGAACGCUGGCGGCGUGCCUAAUACAUGCAAGUCGAGCGAACAGACGAGGAGUUUGCUCCUCUGACGUUAGCGGCGGACGGGUGAGUAACACGUGGAUAACCUACCUAUAAGACUGGGAUAACUUCGGGAAACCGGAGCUAAUACCGGAUAAUAUAUUGAACCGCAUGGUUCAAUAGUGAAAGAUGGUUUUGCUGUCACUUAUAGAUGGAUCCGCGCCGUAUUAGCUAGUUGGUAAGGUAACGGCUUACCAAGGCGACGAUGCGUAGCCGGCCUGAGAGGGUGAUCCGCCACACUGGAACUGAGACACGGUCCAGACUCCUACGGGAGGCAGCAGUAGGGAAUCUUGCGCAAUGGGCGAAAGCCUGACGGAGCAACGCCGCGUGAGUGAUGAAGGUCUUCGGAUCGUAAAACUCUGUUAGUAGGGAAGAACAAAUGUGUAAGUAACUAUGCACGUCUUGACGGUACCUAAUCAGAAAGCCACGGCUAACUACGUG
rnacentral:rRNA from 1 species